CACCAGUGGCCUCAGGUUACUGUGUGUACAAGGUGUUUGUGGGAUAUUUCUGGUCUCCCACAAUUUCAGCUGAUGUCCAGAGUUAAAGGGCUCUAAGUAAGUACCCCACCUUCUAUAAAGUGUUGCUAAGGAAAGCCCUCAAUGCUAAGGCUUUGAUACAAAAUACCAUUGAUCCACCUUCCCCUCAAUCUUUUUGUUUUGUUUUGUUUUGUUUUUGAGAUGGAGUCUCACUCUGUCGCCAGGCUGGAAUGCAGUGGCGCGAUCUUUGCUCACUGCAACCUCCGCCUCCUGGAUUCAAGUGAUUCUCCUGCCUCAGUCUCCUGAGUAGCUGGGAUUACAGGCAUGCCCCACCAAGCCCAGCUAAUUUCUGUAUAUUUAGUGGAGAUGGGGUUUCACCAUGUUGGCCAGGCUGGUCUCAAUCUCCUGACCUCAUGAUCCGCCCACCUCGGUCUCCCAAAGUACUGGGAUUGCAGGUGUGAGCCACCGUGCCUGGCCCCCCUCCAUCUUUUUGCAUCAGAAGAGACAUGAAAAGGGAGAAAAUGGUAGUUGUGGUCAACUGUGUGGUCAGCAGUGUUUACAGUGGCAGACUGUCUACAGAGGUGAAGAGGGGUGCCUUCUCUUCUCCCUUUGCAGAGGCCAAGUGGGGAAGGUUGAGGAGCAAGAAAGGGAGACCAGCAUUUCCAUUUCCCAGUUGGGUUCCCAUUUGGGCACCUGCCUGUCGGGCCAUCUGCCCGGUAGGAAGCACUUCCUCGAUAACCGUGCAGCAGUGCCUGACCCCAAUUCAUGCGGCUCAACUGUGGAUUUCUCUCUUUAGUAUGAGGGGUACUUAGCAGAGUUGGUUUUUUUUUUUUUUUUUUUUUUUUUUUUUUUUCAGAUUUGGCCUUUAACUGGCAAAUUCUGGGUCAGGAAGAGCGCCCCUCAACAUUUUUUGAUGCUAAUCCUUCCCCCCCAAAUCUGCCACUGGUUACAGUAACUCAGCUUUCCCACUUGAGCAGUUUGAGGGAUGCAGGGUCUGACAGGAGCCCAGAGGCCGUUCAGAGGAUGGGCACCAACAGUACCCUGGCUCCAAACAGGGCAGCCAGGUGCAAGGUGGGCACAGGGCUUAGCAGGGAAGGUGGGCCGGCAAGGCCAGGUGCAUGGCAGGAGUGGCGGGGAGCCUGGUGGGCUGUGGGGAGUAGAGGUAGUUCAUGGCCAGCCUGGAGCUGAGAACAUGGAGAAAGAACCCCAAACUCUUAAUUUUUCUGUAGAACUUGGCUGGUGCUCAGGGCUGCUGGCAGCCUCAGCUGGAAAUCUGUUUACCCAGAGAACGAAGCAUCAGAUAAGCUUUGUGGUGGAAGAGAGCCAUGAUUCUCAGUCUAAAUGUUGAAAUUAGAGGGAGAGGCAAAGAGAAUCCAAUGGAACUUGUGGCCGGUGAAGCUCUAGUGAGCCUGAGGCAGUGACUUGGGUCUAAGGUGAAGCCUUAUUUAUGGAGAAGCGAUCCCAGGCGAAAACAGCUGUUGGCCAGAGUUUUGGAGAAACAUGAGUUGACUCAGAAUUAGGCCAUGAACUUAGGUUAUUAUUUGCCUUUUUUCC
rnacentral:lncRNA from 1 species